ACGUCAGGCCUGAGGCGGGGAGAGUCUGCCCUUGUUUGUAUAUGCCCAUGGCCGCGGCCAUUCCCUGGGGUCAGAGCACUCAGACAGGGGACCGGUGGGGAGAGGCAGACCCCCAAGGCUCUGCUGCUCCAGAGGCUCGGAAUUCACUGCGCACAUAUUUGCUGACUUCCCUGCAUUCUGCCAGCUUCAGGCAUUCACUUCCCAGAAGUUUAUUUGAGGAGACGCCGAGGAGCCGGAUCUGGGUCCAGCAGACCUGCCCAGACAGACAGGCUGAGCCCUUUCUCACUGCCUCUCUCACACGCUCCACCUCUCACAGUCCUCCCUGUCUGCCUCUCCGUGGCCACCUGCUCCUCCGUCUCUUUUCUCCCUCUGCUUUUUAUUCUCUGCUUGAUCCCCUGCUCCAGAUUCAGUGCCCACCCUUCUCAGCCCUGCUGGGUGCCCUGGGAGGCUGACCCCAGAGGACCCCACAGCCUGAACGGGCCGAGUUCAGCUGGCGGGAGGCCCUGGCGGAGAUUACAGGGAGGGAGGCGGGGUGGGAGGUCAGGGAUUCCUUCUCCACGCCCUCUCUCCUAGGCAACAUUUUCCGCCGGGGCUGUGUUUCUCCAUGACUCAUCCUGCACCGGCAUUCCGUCCUCCCCAACCAGCCCUCACUGGCCUGCAAUAACACCCCCUCCUCCCAUCGCCCAUCAGCCCUAGAGGUGGUAAGGACUUCCCAAGAUUGCCAGCCUCUCUUAUUGCUUGCUACACUCCACCCAUGUCUUAAAGCUCCAGAACCCUCCUGCCCUCCACAGGAAGCUCCAGAACCCUCCCAUCCCUCCACAGAAAGCUCCAGAACCCUCCUGCCCUCCACAGGAAGCUCCAAAUCCUCCCAUCCCUCCACAGAAAGCUCCAAAUCCUCCCAUCCCUCCACAGAAAGCUCCAGAACCCUCCUGCCCUCCACAGGAAGCUCCAAAUCCUCCCAUCCCUCCACAGGAAGCUCCAAAUCUUCCCAUCCCUCCACAGAAAGCUCCAGACCCUCCCAUCCCUCCACAGAAAGCUCCAGAACCCUCCCAUCCCUCCACAGGAAGCUCCAGAACCCUCCCAUCCCUCCACAGGAAGCUCCAGACCCUCCCAUCCCUCC